GGGUUUAAAUUUUUGACACGAUUAUUAAAUGGGUUGGGUUUGGGUUUAUAUUUUGCGACACGACAAAUACCUUAACCCGACACAAACCCAACCCGACACGACCCAUUGACAGCCCUACCCACUUACCCCACAUCAGAUUCUUAUGAUACACAUGUUUCCACCCCUAUACAUGAUUCUCAUUCUUCACUUUCAUAUUCUAAUGAUGAUGAUCAUGUGUUAGUUGAGGAUUACAUUGAUAAUGAUGAUGAUAAUGUGUUGCAUUCAUAUGGGGCCAAGGGGGAAGAAAAUGUACCUCUUGGCCAUGUUGCUAAUGAUAAUGUGCAUAUGCAUCGUACUUUUAUUUCAAAGGAGGAUGGGAACCGGGGGGAAGAAAAUGUACCCCCGGAAAUUGGAGUGGGUGAUGUGACUUUGUAUACAAAAGGAAGAAAUAAGGGGGUGGAUAAGGAAGCCGGGGAAGGAGAAAAUGUACUUCCCGGAGGUGCACAAGGAAGGAAGGCCUCUUUAUCUCAUUCUACAUCUUCAAAAUCUCAAGCCUCUAAUUCUUCAUCCGCACCACCUAAGCAUGUGCAUUUUGGCCCCACUACUCCUUUAUCAUCACCUAGGGAUCUUCAUCAAGGGGGGAGGAAUAAGGCGGAAGCUACUUCAUCUACUUCUAUUGAUACACAUGGUUCAUCCUCGGGUUUGAGUUCUAAUGGUUCACCGCCUAUUUCGUCAUCUAGUGAGCAUCGGGAACAACAUCAAGGGAGAAGUAAUAACGAGGAAGACUAUUCUCAUGUACCUUUGGAUUCUAGGGAUAGGAGUGGACCGAUCCAUUCUACACUAGGCGAGGCCUUGAGGGCUAAGAACCCUAGUGGGAUGGUUACCACCCUUAGGGGUUCAAGGGGGAGUCUCACUUUUUCUCCACCUCUUGAUUUGAACUCAUCGGAGCCUAGACUUCCCUAUCCACAAGUUAAGAGGGCUCAAGAUCAAAAGAAGCAGAAGGAGACACAAAAGCAAGAGUUCAUUGAGCUAUUCAAGUCCGUUAACAUCAAUAUCCCAUUACUUGAUGCCAUCAAGCAAGUACCGGCCUAUGCAAAAUGCUUGAAGGACAUGUGCACUAGUAAGAGAAAGUUUGUGGAGAAUGAAGAUAUAUAUUUAAGUGAGCAAGUGUCGGCCGUACUUCAAAGGAGGUUGCCUCCUAAGCUUAGUCACUACUAGAAAUCUGUUCAUAGACAUCGCAAGUUUUAAAUCGGUCAGACUUGCCCACGAUGUAAAAAAGUAAUCUAACAUUGUUUUAUGAAAAUACCGAUUUAAAUGUAUAUCAUUAACAUCGGUUCUUAAAAUGACCGGUGUUAAAAGUUUUGUUUGAAAAUUUGCGGGAACCUAUUUUUGCAAAAAGCGCCAAGUCUUUAAGUGAAAUGAGGAAGCGGGGACUAAAACUUAAAAUUUUCACACUUAGAAAAAAAAUUGCGCCCGACCCCAAAACUGAAACACAAACCCUAAGCUCAUUGUCGACCUCCAUUCUCAACCCAGACUCGAACUCCUCCUCCUCCUCCUCACCAUCACAAUCCUCCCUCCUUCAUUCUCAGGCGGAAUCUGAAGCGCCGAGAUCCCGACCUCGAUCUAAAAUUGAAGUAACAGCUCUAAAUCCUGAGCCAGGCCUUGAUCUGAGAUUGGCAGAGUUGAAGAAAUUAAAGAGGAAUGGUUCUUUCCUCUCAAGCCCCACCGAAGUCGGGGUUGGAGCCCUAAACUCGAACACAGCAACCCAGCUGCACUCAACUGCGCCAUUUCUGACUCUCUCCAUGACUCCGUGUCUCCGUCUCCGCCAUUUCUGAUUCUCUCCGUCCCCGACCCUCCAUUUCCGCCUCUCCGGUCUCCCGUCUCCGAGUCUCCGUCUCCAAGCUCCAGGCCCAGAUUGGAGCUACUUUCAUGGCUAGGCGGCCAGCAGAAUCUAGAUGACUAGAUUGGGAAAAUCGAUCCCAUUGAUCUGCUAUGAUGCUUCUUUGCUUCGGUCAAUCUCGACCAAACGAUCACCUCAAUGAAAAUUGAAAUCGCUUGGUGAUUGUAUUCAGAUAUUCUUCUUCUUCAAUUCAUCAAUUGCCCCACCGAUUCACCGAUUGUCAUCACCAAUUGUCGAGAACUGCUGCUUCAUAUGUGUAAGGUUAGUGUCGAGAAGCCCCCAUAAGCAGAGGCCCACAAUUCCUUUGAGAAAGCCCUCACAAUUCCUUUGAGAAGCCCUCAGAAGCAAAGGGCCACAAUUCCUUUCAAACCACUGAGCUUCUCUCUAUUUUGCUUCAAUACCAGAAAUCUACUUUCUCUUGAUUUUCCUUUGCUGAACUUGCUACAAGGACUGGUAUAAUCUAGGUGGUUUUCAGGUAGGAGGUGGGAUCAAUUCAGAUAAUUCUUUGCAAUACAUAGAAGAAGGGGCUAGCCACGUCAUUGUCACUUCUUAUGUAUUUAAUAAUGGGCAAAACCUUGAAAGGCUUAAAGAUCUUGUUCGUGUUUUUGGAAAAGAAAGGCUUGUUUUAGACCUUAGCUGUAGAAAGAGGGAAGGUAAAUAUGCAAUUGUCACAGAUAGAUGGCAAAAGUUCAGUGACGUGUAUCUUGACAAGGAAUUAUUAGACUUCCUUGCCAAGUAUGCAGAUGAGUUUCUGGUACAUGGUGUCGAUGUGGAAGGGAAAAAUUUUAGGCAGUGUUUGGUGAGACUUCUUCUGAUAAUCAACUAGCAGAAGAACAUAUGUAUAGCUGGUUUGACUUUUGAAGAUGAUCCAGUCGAUAAAAGUGAAAAGCUGGAACGAGAUGGGAAACAAUGGGUUGAUAUGUGCUCUUCAAGGUGUUAUGUACCCAGAGUGCAUGAUAAUGUCCUGCUGCAAAAGUGGCUAUGUGAGAAUAAUACAAAACGUUUUCUUUAGCAUAAUUUACCCCAACCUAACCCUGGCUGACCUGAAUAAAGAACUGUUCAGUAAUUGGUGCUACGGUAGGUAUUCACAAUCUGGUCAGUUCAAGUGUGUUUAUUAUACAAAUAAAUAAAUAAAUAAAAGCACAGUUAUGUAGAUUAUGUUAAAUUUCUACUUGUUUCUGACUAUAUCAGGAGCUCAGUUAAGGCUCUGGAAGUCUCUCAUUUUGCUAGUUACUGAUGUCACUGAAAACAUGUGCAUAUAAGUAUACCAUUUUUCUUGCGCUCCUUGAAUCCUGUUUUCUUUUUCUUUUUCUUUUUGUGGAGAAGAGUGUUCCUUGAAUCCUUAAGCCUGAUACUCUUAACUUUCAUUUUAUCUUGUGCUUUAUAGAUUAUGAAAAUAAUGUUUCUGAAUACAGGGUUUGUGCAUCUGGCUUCUGUUAUCCUUAUUCUUAUCUUUUCCCAUCAAGUUCUUUAUAUGGGCAGUUUUAUUAUACUGUUUUCCUAUGAUACAUCAUAACUGCUUCUUGGAGUUGUUGUGAUAAUGUUUUUUUUUUCUUUUUCUCUUUUUUU